rnacentral:rRNA from 1 species
UACGUAGGGUGCGAGCGUUGUCCGGAAUUAUUGGGCGUAAAGAGCUCGUAGGCGGUCUGUCGCGUCGAUCGUGAAAACUUGGGGCUUAACCCUGAGCUUGCGGUCGAUACGGGCAUGACUGGAGUUCGGCAGGGGAGGCUGGAAUUCCUGGUGUAGCGGUGGAAUGCGCAGAUAUCAGGAGGAACACCGAUGGCGAAGGCAGGUCUCUGGGCCACUACUGACGCUGAGAAGCGAAAGCAUGGGGAGCGAACAGG